AUAGGCUGUACGAGACGUACUUUCAGGGACAUGGGUCGGUGCUUCUACCCGACUUGAUGGUCGCGAUCAGGUGGUGCGACCAUAUGCUAGAUAGAUUGAAGCUUGGGCUGGUCUACAUCCUCGAGAAUGUGAUGAGGUGUCAUCACAAGAAGACUGCCAUCGACAUUUUUCAUUUGCAAGUUGUUGACGACAUCGAUGCGUUCAACAACUAUCCGUGGGG
rnacentral:lncRNA from 1 species